rnacentral:rRNA from 1 species
GGUAUGAAAGGGUUAACGAAGAAGGUGCUGUGUCUAAAAAUUCAAUUUAAACUAACUUUAAGGUGAAGAGGCCUUUAUGUAAAAGAAGGACGACAAGACCCUAUGAAGCUUUAUCUUAAUUGGAGCUCUCAGGCUCUUAUACGAUUUUGAUGGGAGAUCAGUAGAAAUAAGUCUUCUACUAUCAUAUUAAUCUUACUAGUAUCUCCUAACUUUAUAUGUGUGGCUAGCUACUCUAGGGAUAACAGCGCAAUUUCUCCCGAAAGAUGGUAUUGGAGGGGAAGAUUGCGACCUCGAUGUUGGCUUUAGAUAUCCUAGAGGCGUAGAAGCUUCU